rnacentral:rRNA from 1 species
UACAGAGGGUGCGAGCGUUGUCCGGAAUCACUGGGCGUAAAGGGCGCGUAGGCGGCUUGAUAAGCGUGCGGUGAAAGCCCGGGGCUCAACCCCGGGUCGGCCGUGCGAACUGUCGAGCUGGAGCACUGUAGAGGCAGGUGGAAUUCCGGGUGUAGCGGUGGAAUGCGUAGAGAUCCGGAAGAACACCGGUGGCGAAGGCGACUCACUGGCCCGAUACUGACGCUGAGGCGCGAAAGCGUGGGGAGCAAACAGG